rnacentral:rRNA from 1 species
CGGGCGGGUGAGUAAUGUCUGGGAAACUGCCUGAUGGAGGGGGAUAACUACUGGAAACGGUAGCUAAUACCGCAUAACGUCGCAAGACCAAAGAGGGGGACCUUCGGGCCUCUUGCCAUCGGAUGUGCCCAGAUGGGAUUAGCUAGUAGGUGGGGUAACGGCUCACCUAGGCGACGAUCCCUAGCUGGUCUGAGAGGAUGACCAGCCACACUGGAACUGAGACACGGUCCAG